rnacentral:rRNA from 1 species
UACGAAGGGGGCUAGCGUUGCUCGGAAUCACUGGGCGUAAAGCGCACGUAGGCGGCUUUUUAAGUCAGGGGUGAAAUCCUGGAGCUCAACUCCAGAACUGCCUUUGAUACUGGUGAUCUUGAGUCCGGGAGAGGUGAGUGGAACUGCGAGUGUAGAGGUGAAAUUCGUAGAUAUCGUUUGGAACGCCAACGGUGAAAACAGGUAACUGGGGAGGUGCCGACGCUGAGACACGAAAGCCAGGGGAGCGAACGGG